UCAGUCGGAGGCCAAUCUUGGAUUUAUAGCGUGCGCAUGCAACGCAUUCACCUGCGUUUGCUACCCAGGCAGUCCGAGCGAGUAAGGAGGGAUGGGGGUUGCACCAAAUGGAUUUUGCCACCCCCUUGAAAGCAGAGAAGUGGAAGAUUCUGGUCAUGUGACAGCAGAGUAGAUAAAAGGGGCAGACGGAAGGAAACUGGGGCACUUGAAAUGUCUCAAUCCCGAGGUGGAGCAGCUUAUUGCAGGCGACCCAGCGAGGCUGCACUCGAUAUUUUGGGAUUUACUAUCCCAUGGACAUCUGAAGAGUCAUCCAGAAAGGAACCAAGAAGAAGGCAAAGGCUCCCUGCUGCACUUGCCUCCACUCGGGAGAGCUCUCGAGAGCUCAGGAGGGUACUUUGGUCUACUCUUCUUCGCUGGCCAAACAUCUUGGAAGAGAUAAGGAAGAUGGGCUGAGUUGAGCCUCAACUGAGAUUUCAUCUCGCAACCUUACGGUAUCAUGAGUCAAGAACUCUUCACGACAGUGCCCCUCAGACAUAUGCGUACACGUUGUGUGCAUGUGUAUGAAUAAGCGUACACUGCAAGCACUUCUUUCAAGCGUGCGCACACAUCUGAAAUCCAAGCAGAUGGGACGGUGGUGACUCAACGGCAGCAUAUCGGCGCAGGCUGUGGCAUUAAUUUUGAUCAUACUUUAAUAAUAAUGCUGCUUGAAAGUGUUUAGUCAAGAUAAGCACUUGAGAUAGAACGUCUAAAUUUCUCAUAUGCCUACAGUGUAAUUACUGUAGACAUUACGAGCAUCACUGGCAGCAGGGUAUUAAUUUCACACAUGCCUAGGCAACAGCAGGAGACACACUCCAAGCCUGCCAGCAAGCCAGACUGUUUUGCAGUGAUGAUAAAUAGACCAAUCCACUGGCCUUCCAGCGGCAUGACCACAAACCAAAAUAGAGAAAUCUGGCACCCAAGAUAUUGAGAGAAUAUCUGUUUUGUUAGGGGGAUUUGACUGUACACAGAAAAUAAACGUGUGCUUAUGGGAACAGGUUGGGGCACACCAUCAAUUUUUUCAAAUGUAAAAAGCGAGACGUGUUGACGGGACCAGUGAGGCCUUGACCGUCAUCAGCCUGACAUUUCCCCAUCGUUGUGAAAUGAGUAAUCAGGUGCAGAACCACUUAGGAGAGAGGGAGAUGGAUAGGUCUGUGUGCCAUGCACCUCGGUGUGCAGUCCUACCCAAGGCUCCUCGGCAUUCUCAAAAACGAAAUGGUUGUGAUGAAAAAAUGUGCACCUGGAAACCCGCAAAUGCACAUGCAAAGGGGGGCACACGUUAGAUGUACGCACUGGCACCCACAAGCACAUGUUUUUACACACGUGUGUUACAUGUGCUGGUAUGAGCCAUGAUGUAUAAUCUGUUUAACUGAAAAUUCAUUUUUUUUUAUCAGCACGAGACUAAAAGAACAUCAAAGAAAUAUGAAAUACUCCCAAAUACAACUGUCAGCCGUAGCAGAACAUGCGUGCCAACAAGGACACUCAAUUGAUUUUGAUAAUGUUGAAGUUCUGUGCAAAACUAGCUACUACUGGCCAAGAUUAAUUAGAGAAUCUAUCGAAAUUGAAAUAAAAAUUAUUUCAACCGUUCGGAUAGCUACCGACUUAGUGCUGUGUGGAAUGGGCAGGAAGAACAAGAUCCAAGGACUCGCACAUGCAUAAUGCACGUUGUCUCAUCAAAAAGGGUGAUCACCACAUCUACGCCUCUAUAUAAGGAACGAAACAGGUGGACUUCUCCACAAAUCUUAAUGUCGCCUGAUGAAGCUAGUUGUAAUUACUGGCGAAACCUCGUACUCAGAUUGUAAAUGUUGUGGCUUGGCUCUCCAACACAUCGGUGUGCUGUACUAGUGAUGAAUUGGCACGUUCUGUUUACGUGACAACCCUUACUAGUUGGUGGUGAUGGGUUUUAACGACGCAUUUAUAUAUUUACCUGAUCUAACCCAAACCCCCCCCCCCUCAAUUAUGGAUGAUAUUUUCGCAAAAGCCUCCUACGUGUUAAAUUAUUUUAAUAUUUGUUUGCAUCGUUCUCCGGUGGUGCCAUUGAGAGUGUGCUGUGCAUUUGAAAUGUUUAUUAAAAUAAUGCUUUUGUCGGGGCGGUCAUUUAAAAAAGUAUUUUAUUACCAAUCAUCUUCUAAAACUAUACUAAUAUGGACAUUGUUAUUGGCAAGCUGUGGUAAGUAUUUUCGUAAUUGGUUUCGGGAUUUUGUGGUUUUCAUUAAAACAUGUCAAAUGUUCUCAUACAGACAUCAUUCUAGGGCAUAGUAAAACGUGAGGGAUGCUGCCGAGGUGCAGAAGUCAGCACACUGGACUUGCAAUCCAGAGUUCGCCAGUUCGAUUCAGUAUUCUGGUUGUAACCAGCCCCACCCUCGUGUCGCUAUCUUUAACCCGAUCGAUUUGGGAAAGCACCGGCCAGUUUACCAUUAAAAGAUGUUGAGGUUGCGGUGUGGUUAAGCUCCCAAUUUCGCCUGUGAAUGCUUUGCUUAUGCCAGUAAUCAUGGCCAUAGACACUGCCGACAAACUGC